ACGGGGCGCAGCAGGCGCGAAAACUUCACACUGUGCGAAAGCACGAUGAGGGAAUCCCAAGUGCUUGCUCGUAAGAGUAAGCUGUUUUUCUGUCUAAAACGCAGAGAGAGUAAGAGCUGGGUAAGACGGGUGCCAGCCGCCGCGGUAAUACCUGCAGCUCAAGUGGUGGCCGCUAUUAUUGGGCCUAAAACGUCCGUAGCCGGUUUAGUAAAUGCCUGGGUAAAUCGUGUAGCUUAACUAUACGAAUUCCGGGUAGACUGCUAAACUUGAGACCGGGAGAAGCCAGAGGUACUCCUAGGGUAGAGGUGAAAUUCUGUAAUCCUAGGGGGACCACCAGUGGCGAAGGCGUCUAGCUAGAACGGGUCUGACGGUGAGGGACGAAACCCUGGGGCGCAAACCGGAUUAGAUACCCGGGUAGUCCAGGGCGUAAACGCUGCUUGCUUGAUGUUAGUUGGGCUCCGAGCCCAAUUAGUGUCGGAGAGAAGUUGUUAAGCAAGCUGCCUGGGAAGUACGGUCGCAAGGCUGAAACUUAAAGGAAUUGGCGGGGGAGCACAGCAACGGGUGGAGCGUGCGGUUUAAUUGGAUUCAACGCCGGAAAACUCACCGGAGGCGACGGUUACAUGAAGGCCAGGCUGAUGACCUUGCCUGAUUUUCCGAGAGGUGGUGCAUGGCCGCCGUCAGUUCGUACCGUAAGGCGUUCUGUUAAGUCAGACAACGAACGAGACCCUCAUCUUUAAUUGCUACUGGUAAGUCCGCUUAUCAGGCACAUUGGAGAAACCGCUGGCGAUAAGUCAGAGGA
rnacentral:rRNA from 1 species